rnacentral:rRNA from 1 species
GAUGAACGCUGGCGGCGUGCCUAAUACAUGCAAGUCGAGCGAACGGACGAGAAGCUUGCCUCUCUGAUGUUAGCGGCGGACGGGUGAGUAACACGUGGAUAACCUACCUAUAAGACUGGGAUAACUUCGGGAAACCGGAGCUAAUACCGGAUAAUAUUUUGAACCGCAUGGUUCAAAAGUGAAAGACGGUCUUGCUGUCACUUAUAGAUGGAUCCGCGCUGCAUUAGCUAGUUGGUAAGGUAACGGCUUACCAAGGCAACGAUGCAUAGCCGACCUGAGAGGGUGAUCGGCCACACUGGAACUGAGACACGGUCCAGACUCCUACGGGAGGCAGCAGUAGGGAAUCUUCCGCAAUGGGCGAAAGCCUGACGGGGCAACGCCGCGUGAGUGAUGAAGGUCUUCGGAUCGUAAAACUCUGUUAUUAGGGAAGAACAUAUGUGUAAGUAACUGUGCACAUCUUGACGGUACCUAAUCAGAAAGCCACGGCUAACUACGUG